AUGGCCUACGGGGGGCAGCAGUGGGGAAUAUUGGGCAAUGGGCGGAAGCCUGACCCAGCAACGCCGCGUGAAGGAAGAAGGCUUUCGGGUUGUAAACUUCUUUUCUCAGGGACGAAUAGAUGAUGGUACCUGAGGAAUAAGCCACGGCUAACUACGUGCCAGCAGCCGCGGUAAUACGUAGGUGGCAAGCGUUAUCCGGAUUUACUGGGUGUAAAGGGCGUGUAGGCGGGGACGCAAUGCAGAUGUGAAAACCACGGGCUCAACCUG
rnacentral:rRNA from 1 species